GGUAGUCCACGCCGUAAACGAUGUCGACUUGGAGGUUGUGCCCUUGAGGCGUGGCUUCCGGAGCUAACGCGUUAAGUCGACCGCCUGGGGAGUACGGCCGCAAGGUUAAAACUCAAAUGAAUUGACGGGGGCCCGCACAAGCGGUGGAGCAUGUGGGUUAAUUCGAUGCAACGCGAAGAACCUUACCUACUCUUGACAUCCAGAGAACUUAGCAGAGAUGCUUUGGUGCCUUCGGGAACUCUGAGACAGGUGCUGCAUGGCUGUCGUCAGCUCGUGUUGUGAAAUGUUGGGUUAAGUCCCGCAACGAGCGCAACCCUUAUCCUUUGUUGCCAGCGGUUAGGCCGGGAACUCAAAGGAGACUGCCAGUGAUAAACUGGAGGAAGGUGGGGAUGACGUCAAGUCAUCAUGGCCCUUACGAGUAGGGCUACACACGUGCUACAAUGGCGCAUACAAAGAGAAGCGACCUCGCGAGAGCAAGCGGACCUCAUAAAGUGCGUCGUAGUCCGGAUUGGAGUCUGCAACUCGACUCCAUGAAGUCGGAAUCGCUAGUAAUCGUAGAUCAGAAUGCUACGGUGAAUACGUUCCCGGGCCUUGUACACACCGCCCGUCACACCAUGGGAGUGGGUUGCAAAAGAAGUAGGUAGCUUAACCUUCGGGAGGGCGCUUACCACUUUGUGAUUCAUGACUGGGGUGAAGUCGUAACAAGGUAACCGUAGGGGAACCYKSC
rnacentral:rRNA from 1 species